rnacentral:lncRNA from 1 species
UAAACUCAAAACAUCAGAGCACAUAGACACGCAGACAUAAACCAACAGAGUCGGCUGCGUGCGAAGAGAAAAAGAAAAGGGGGUUAGGGUUUCAGUGGAAAAUCACACAAUCAAUCGAUUAAAGCUCUAGCCAGGUGAGGAAUUGAGUGGGUGUUUAAAUACUUGUGUAUGUAGACAUAUUUGUUGUGUUGUGGAUUGUUUUGGCUGUUGAUGGGAACGGGAACAGAUGAAGAGGCAGAUGGGAUUGUAAGGAUCGAAGGCGGUGGCGUUGGAAUCCAGCGCGACGCCGUGUGUUGACUGGGCUGCAGCGGCGGGGUUGCCGCGAGCCGUGGUGCAGCGGCAUAGCCGCAAUUGGUGAUGGCUGAUGGAUGUCGAGGGAGAGCAGUGUAACCAGCCUUAUUAUGAGCCAGGAAGAAACGCUGUUGUUUAGCAGUAUGUUAGACUUUUGCUGUUUUAGAUAAAUAAGAUUGUAGUGGCUAUAUUAGUAUCAACCUGGGGCCCCGUGCAUAACGGCCUGCAUAUUCACCCAGUUAGAUAGAGACAAGUGUCUCAGAGUAAGGAUAAAAGCAGUAGGCGAAGGGAGGAGAGGGCAUGCUGGAAGAAACAUAUGUUUUACUCAUUUUGUCUUUCUUGCUUUUCGUCUCUGUAACCAGUACCUUUAUGGCUAUGAAUUAAUGCAGUCUCCCUUUCAUUUCUUUUAAGUUUCCUUGUUCUGUUUUAAAUCUUCAUAAAAAAUAGUUACAAGGUUACAAGCAGAGGUCGAUCAACGACCGUACUGCUGAAAGGGGGGAAGACUCGCCGGAGUUGAGUUCCGGCAGCGGCGAAGUCGACCAGAGCUUAUGGUCAGGGUUCGUUUGAUUGAUGAUUGUAUGGUGGUGGCAGUGCAGUGAAGGGGGCGAAAGGAUGUGUGGGUUUGAAUGGGUUGUGUCUCGAUGGUGGGUUGAGUAGUGGGUUGGAGAAAGAUAUAGUUUAAGCCAGGAGAAGUGUAUGAGUAUUAGCUGGGGAGUUUGUAUAAUCAGU